rnacentral:tRNA from 1 species
GGUUGUGGCUCAGUGGUAGAGCGCUUGCCUAGCACGUUUGAGGGCACUGGGUUCAACUUUCAGCACCA